AGCAGCCACGGCAAAUUCCAGCUCCAAUAGCGUAUAUUAAAGUUGUUGCAGUUAAAAAGCUCGUAGUUGAAUUCGGUGUUCUUCCGUCGGUCAGGCUAACCAGUCUGUACUAGCGUGUAGAAUUCCUACCUUCUGGGGAACCAUCAUGUUAUUAAUUUAGCAUGGUGGGAAACCAGGACCUUUACCUUGAAAAAAUUAGAGUGUUCAAAGCAGGCUUACGUCUGAAUACAUUAGCGUGGAAUAAUAAAAUAGGACGGUGGUCCUGUUUUGUUGGUUUCUGAAUCACCGUAAUGAUUAAUAGGGAUAGUUGGGGGCAUUAGUAUUCAAUUGUCAGAGGUGAAAUUCUUGGAUUUUUUGAAGACUAACUUCUGCGAAAGCAUUUGCCAAGGAUGUUUU
rnacentral:rRNA from 1 species